rnacentral:rRNA from 1 species
UACGAAGGGGGCGAGCGUUGUUCGGAAUUACUGGGCGUAAAGCGCGUGUAGGCUGCUCGGAAAGUCGGGUGUGAAAGCCCUGGGCUCAACCCAGGAAGUGCACUCGAAACUUCCAAGCUCGAGUCCUGGAGAGGAAAGCGGAAUUCUCGGUGUAGAGGUGAAAUUCGUAGAUAUCGAGAGGAACACGGUGGCGAAGGCGACUUCUGGGCCUGUUCUUGACGCUGAGGCACGAAGGUCAGGGGAGGCAAACGGG